rnacentral:rRNA from 1 species
AGAGUUUGAUCCUGGCUCAGAUUGAACGCUGGCGGCAUGCCUUACACAUGCAAGUCGAACGGUAACAGCUCUUCGGAGGCUGACGAGUGGCGAACGGGUGAGUAAUACAUCGGAACGUGCCCGAUCGUGGGGGAUAACGGAGCGAAAGCUUUGCUAAUACCGCAUACGAUCUACGGAUGAAAGCAGGGGACCCUCGGGCCUCGCGCGAUUGGAGCGGCCGAUGUCAGAUUAGGUAGUUGGUGGGGUAAAGGCCCACCAAGCCAACGAUCUGUAGCUGGUCUGAGAGGACGACCAGCCACACUGGAACUGAGACACGGUCCAGACUCCUACGGGAGGCAGCAGUGGGGAAUUUUGGACAAUGGGCGCAAGCCUGAUCCAGCAAUGCCGCGUGCAGGAAGAAGGCCUUCGGGUUGUAAACUGCUUUUGUACGGAACGAAACGGUCUGGGUUAAUACCCUGGGCUAAUGACGGUACCGUAAGAAUAAGCACCGGCUAACUACGUGCCAGCAGCCGCGGUAAUACGUAGGGUGCAAGCGUUAAUCGGAAUUACUGGGCGUAAAGCGUGCGCAGGCGGUUUUGUAAGACAGUCGUGAAAUCCCCGGGCUCAACCUGGGAAUUGCGAUUGUGACUGCAAAGCUGGAGUGCGGCAGAGGGGGAUGGAAUUCCGCGUGUAGCAGUGAAAUGCGUAGAUAUGCGGAGGAACACCGAUGGCGAAGGCAAUCCCCUGGGCCUGCACUGACGCUCAUGCACGAAAGCGUGGGGAGCAAACAGGAUUAGAUACCCUGGUAGUCC